UAGAUGUAUCAUCUGGUACAGCAUCCGGAAGUGUACGGUUCUGAGCCGGCAGUGGCUCAGAUUGUUUAGCUUUAUUCUGAGCCGGCGAUGUUGCAGAUUGUUUAUCUUUCUUCUUUUCCGGCGUGGUGCAGAUUGUUUAGCAUUGUUCUGAGCCGGCGGUGGUGUAGCUUGUUUAGCUUUUCC